rnacentral:lncRNA from 1 species
AACAAUGUUGGACACAACAAGAAACACCCGAUACACCCAAAUUCUUCUUAGUGUUUCUUGGCACAAAGAUCUGAUAUGGCAACCAAUUUUGGGUGGCAAAGAGCUAUCUUGAAAAGAAUUAAAUGAAAGAAAAUUAGAGUCCAAACUAAUUCUGCAUGAGGAGCAAACUGAGAAAGAAUUGGAAUCAAUUCUUGGAAAACUUGAUUUGGGCAGCCG